ensembl:lncRNA
CCACAGUGUGCAAUCACAACAGCAACAUUUGUGACCUGUUGCCACAAGAAAAGGACAACCAGUGAAGAACAAACACUGUUGUAAAUAUAACCUUAUGUUUAUUUAUUUUUGUACUUCAACUAUUUGCACAUCAUUACAACAUUUAAAUGUCUUUAUUAUUUUGGAACUUUUGUAAGUGUAAUGUUUACAGUCUUUUUUUUAUUUAUUGUUUAUUAUCUCUUUCACUUGCUUUGGCAAUGUAAACAUAUGUAUCCCAUGCCAAUACAGCCCUUAAAUUGAAUUGAAAUUGGAAGACCAGUGGCCGGUAGUUGGAGAUGGAACGAGAUGGAUUUUGGCCGACAUUUACUCAUCAGUGAAACAUUUGAUCUCAAUACAGUUUUUUGUUACAAACAGAGUGAACUAAGUUUGGUAGACUUCACCAUUUGACAAAGUUUUUAAAAAAGGCCUUGUUUAGCAGGGGUGCAAAGGCGAAUUGUUUGUGCACACGCGCACUUCAGAGUAGACGUUCCCCAAAGAAAUAUGCAAAUGUUUGCUAGAAUGCACCAAUAGGAUCUCGCUAACUCGUUCUUGGCUCUGCCCACCUCAUUGCUUUUUCUGCCCACUAUGGCUCAUUUGUUCUCAUUUGAAACAACGGGCUGUGGUCCAUCUUGGUUAACUCACAAAAAUCUUUGGUGGUACCAUGAACUGCCCCGUAUCAAUUUAUGCGAUUCUACUUUAGAAAGCAACAUACUAAAAUAACACAUCACUACCCUCUACUGUAUUGGAAUAUAACAUUGAGAAAUUAUAUACCGACCAUCAAUCUGCAGCAAAUCUGAAACUGUUUGAAAUAGUAGUACAACAAGCUUGGAAAAUGUCUUCAGAUGCAAACAAAUAAAACCAAAUGUACCAUUGGUGUCACUGCCCAGUUUAACCCAACAUGCCACUUUCCUAAACAAGAAGAAGUCAACAUUACAAAGACAAGACUUGUGUUAGGCUAUGACGGACAUUACAGAAGGAUGAUCUUCAAUGAAGACAAUUUAAAAGUUAUGAACAGGUACAAGUCAAAAUGUGGAAUUCAUCUAAGGUUUGUAAUCAUUUUCCACAUUUGCUAGAAGAGCAUUCAUGACAUUAUUAGUGUGGUGUGAGCUUUACAACAGCAACAAAAAAAACAGAAAAGCUACAAAAAAGCUACAUUCAACAUUUUAGUUUGAGCGCAAAUGACAAAAUACUGAUGAGUGCAUAUUAUAUUAUCGUCAUGUUGGAAGAUUUCCAAGAGUAAAGUUUUUAAUUGAAUAUGUGUAUCAUGUCAAUAAUGUUGUUCGUGUUUUACAUAGCAAAGCAAUCCAGUGACACUGUCAUGUAAGUGCCCAGACUGAAGCAGAUUAUGUAUAGACACAGAUGUGAAAACAAAUCAACUAAAAUGUGUACAACCAUGAUAAUGUGCAAGUCUGCCAAAAUCCACAAAAAUGACAUUGACUAUGGACUAAACCUCAUGUAAAAAUAUUUUUUCAAAGCAUCUGCCAAGUGUUUUUCCACAAUGUUUAACCUGUAUCACAUAUUAACACAGACAAUGGAAAUAGAACAUAUGUAUGAUGGUUCAUGCUUUGGUGGGGAACACUUAGCUGCCACACUAUGCACCUAUUCCACAGUUACGGCAGGAUCCCCUCCCUGGUUCUUCUUGCCAAGCUGGGUGUCUCUGCCCAUAUCCAACAACAAUCCAACUGCAUUCAAUGCAGUUUCUUCAUGUUGACAAUGACCAUGCGGUAAAUCUAGGAGGGAACCAGGAGCAGGGAGGUAGAAAAAGACUACUGAUUCUCAUUAUUUUAUAGGAGCGUCUCAAACAUACAGCUCCCAUCCUUUUAUAUCAGGAGAGAACAAUCCAUUAUGUGCUGUUCCUCAUAUGCUUUCGCUGUCUCAGGUCUGCAUCUGUCCAGAGGGAUCCACUCUG